UACGUAGGGGGCAAGCGUUGUCCGGAAUCAUUGGGCGUAAAGAGCGUGUAGGCGGCCCGAUAAGUCCGCUGUGAAAGUCCAGGGCUCAACCCUGGAAUGCCGGUGGAUACUGCCGGGCUAGAGUCCGGAAGAGGCGAGUGGAAUUCCUGGUGUAGCGGUGAAAUGCGCAGAUAUCAGGAGGAACACCAAUGGCGAAGGCAGCUCGCUGGGACGUGACUGACGCUGAGGCGCGAAAGCGUGGGGAGCAAACAGG
rnacentral:rRNA from 1 species